GAACCCGAACCUCUUCACCAGGUCUUAGCUGCUGGUUUCACGAUUAUCGAACAUUUUGACUUUGAUUGUUCGUUGUCGUCGAAACCUGCCUCGAAGCACCUGACUUCAUCUGACAUGAAAA
rnacentral:precursor_RNA from 9 species